UACGUAGGGACCGAGCGUUGUCCGGAUUCAUUGGGCGUAAAGAGCUCGUAGGCGGCCACUCAAGUCGAAUGUGAAACCUCGAGGCUUAACCUCGAGCCUGCAUUCGAUACUGGGCGGCUAGAGUCUGGUAGGGGGAUCUGGAAUUCCUGGUGUAGCGGUGAAAUGCGCAGAUAUCAGGAGGAACACCGGUGGCGAAGGCGGGUCUCUGGGACGGUACUGACGCUGAGACGCGAAAGCGUGGGGAGCGAACAGG
rnacentral:rRNA from 1 species